rnacentral:rRNA from 1 species
CCUACGGGAGGCAGCAGUGAGGAAUAUUGGUCAAUGGGCGAGAGCCUGAACCAGCCACGUCGCGUGAGGGAAGAAGGUCCUCUGGAUUGUAAACCUCUUUUGCCGGGGAGCAAAAAGCGGUACGUGUACCGCAUCGAGAGUACCCGGAGAAUAAGCAUCGGCUAACUCCGUGCCAGCAGCCGCGGUAAUACGGAGGCUGCGAGCGUUAUCCGGAUUUAUUGGGUUUAAAGGGUGCGCAGGCGGCGAGGUAAGUACGCGGUAAAAUUUCGGGGCUCAACCCCGGCAAGCCGUUGAAACUGGGGUGCUAGAGUGGGCGAGAAGUAUGCGGAAUUCGUGGUGUAGCGGUGAAAUGCGUAGAUAUCACGCAGAACUCCGGUGGCGAAGGCAGCAUACCGGCGCCUAACUGACGCUCAGGCACGAAAGCGUGGGGAUCGAACAGGAUUAGAUACCCGUGUAGUC